rnacentral:rRNA from 1 species
UACGUAGGGAGCAAGCGUUGUCCGGAAUCAUUGGGCGUAAAGAGCGUGUAGGCGGCCCGGUAAGUCCGCUGUGAAAGUCGGGGGCUCAACCCUCGAAUGCCGGUGGAUACUGUCGGGCUAGAGUGCGGAAGAGGCGAGUGGAAUUCCUGGUGUAGCGGUGAAAUGCGCAGAUAUCAGGAGGAACACCGAUUGCGAAGGCAGCUCGCUGGGACGUAACUGACGCUGAGACGCGAAAGCGUGGGGAGCAAACAGG